AUAAAGGCUUAGUUGAGUUGAGUAGAAUUACAAGGACUUCUAAAAAUAUCACGGAUAUAAAAGGCGUUGGCUUCUGUAGAUUCUUAUGAUCCAACUUUAUAUUCAACAAGCAGAUAGAUGGAAAGUGUAUAAAGGUUGCAUUUUUUGAUGCUUAAUACAAUGCAAAACAAUUACUGCAUCUGAAAGCAUAGGCCUCAGACCACAGAACACUAAAGAGCAAUUCUAGAACAUGUAUAUCGGCUUAGGAACUGAAUCACUUGACUGAUGCACAUUUCAAAGAAAUCUGAACAAAACCUCAGCAAGUGAAGCCCACAGUGUGCACACGCGCGCGCGCAAGAGAGAGAGAGAGAGAGAGA
rnacentral:misc_RNA from 1 species